GACGAACGCUGGCGGCGUGCCUAAUACAUGCAAGUUGAGCGCUGAAGGUUGGUACUUGUACCAACUGGAUGAGCAGCGAACGGGUGAGUAACGCGUGGGGAAUCUGCCUUUGAGCGGGGGGCAACAUUUGGAAACGAAUGCUAAUACCGCAUAAAAACUUUAAACACAAGUUUUAAGUUUGAAAGAUGCAAUUGCAUCACUCAAAGAUGAUCCCGCGUUGUAUUAGCUAGUUGGUGAGGUAAAGGCUCACCAAGGCGAGGAUACAUAGCCGACCUGAGAGGGUGAUCGGCCACAUUGGGACUGAGACACGGCCCAAACUCCUACGGGAGGCAGCAGUAGGGAAUCUUCGGCAAUGGACGAAAGUCUGACCGAGCAACGCCGCGUGAGUGAAGAAGGUUUUCGGGUCGUAAAACUCUGUUGGUAGAGAAGAACGUUGGUGAGAGUGGAAAGCUCAUCAAGUGACGGUAACUACCCAGAAAGGGACGGCUAACUACGUG
rnacentral:rRNA from 1 species